GACGAACGCUGGCGGCGUGCUUAACACAUGCAAGUCGAACGGAAAGGCCCUGCUUUUGUGGGGUGCUCGAGUGGCGAACGGGUGAGUAACACGUGAGUAACCUGCCCUUGACUUUGGGAUAACUUCAGGAAACUGGGGCUAAUACCGGAUAGGAGCUCCUGCUGCAUGGUGGGGGUUGGAAAGUUUCGGCGGUUGGGGAUGGACUCGCGGCUUAUCAGCUUGUUGGUGGGGUAGUGGCUUACCAAGGCUUUGACGGGUAGCCGGCCUGAGGGGGUGACCGGCCCAAUGGGGUCGGGGGUGCGCCCCCGCCCCCUACGGGGGGCACCAGGGGGGAAUUUUCCCAAAGGGGCGGAACCCUGUUCCACAAACCCCGGGGGGGGGAAGGGGGCCUUCGGUUUGUAACCCGCUUUCCCCUGGGAAGAAGCGGGGGUGGCGGUAAGGGGAAAAGAAGCACCGGCUAACUACGU
rnacentral:rRNA from 1 species